CAGUAGCCGCGGGAACACGGAGGGUGUAAGCGUUAAUCGGAAUUACUGGGCGUAAAGCGUGCGUAGGCGGUUCGUUAAGUCUGUUGUGAAAGCCCCGGGCUCAACCUGGGAAUGGCAAUGGAUACUGGCGAGCUAGAGUGUGUCAGAGGAUGGUGGAAUUCCCGGUGUAGCGGUGAAAUGCGUAGAGAUCGGGAGGAACAUCAGUGGCGAAGGCGGCCAUCUGGGACAACACUGACGCUGAGGCACGAAAGCGUGGGGAGCAAACAGGAUUAGAUACCCCGGUAGUCCCUGUCUCUUAUAC
rnacentral:rRNA from 1 species